rnacentral:misc_RNA from 1 species
AACGCACAUUGCGCCCCUCGGUAUUCCGGAGGGCAUGCCUGUUCGAGCGUCAUUUACACCUUCAAGCUCUGCUUGGUGAUGGGCGUCUGUCCCGCGUCUGCGUGGACUCACCUCAAAGCAAUUGGCGGCUAGUACGUUGGCAUGAAGUGCAGCAGAAUUGCGCUUCCUGUUCCCGCGUCUGGCUCCCAGAAGCAACUAUUUUACCAUUUUGACCUCGAAUCAGGUAGGGAUACCCGCUGAACUUAA